UUAUCCUACGGGACGCAGCAGUGGGGAAUAUUGGGCAAUGGGCGCAAGCCUGACCCAGCAACGCCGCGUGAAGGAAGAAGGCUUUCGGGUUGUAAACUUCUUUUCUCAGGGACGAAGAAAGUGACGGUACCUGAGGAAUAAGCCACGGCUAACUACGUGCCAGCAGCCGCGGUAAUACGUAGGUGGCAAGCGUUAUCCGGAUUUAUUGGGUUUAAAGGGUGCGCAGGCGGAUUUUUAAGUCAGCGGUCAAAUCGUGGGGCUCAACCCCAUCCAGCCGUUGAAACUGGGGACCU
rnacentral:rRNA from 1 species